rnacentral:rRNA from 1 species
CAUGCAGUCGAGGGGUAUAGGUUUUCGGACCUAGAGACCGGCGCACGGGUGCGUAACGCGUAUGCAAUCUACCUUUUACAGAGGGAUAGCCCAGAGAAAUUUGGAUUAAUACCUCAUAGUAUUAUUGAAUGGCAUCAUUUAAUAAUUAAAGUCACAACGGUAAAAGAUGAGCAUGCGUCCCAUUAGCUUGUUGGUAAGGUAACGGCUUACCAAGGCAACGAUGGGUAGGGGUCCUGAGAGGGAGAUCCCCCACACUGGUACUGAGACACGGACCAGACUCCUACGGGAGGCAGCAGUGAGGAAUAUUGGUCAAUGGGCGCAAGCCUGAACCAGCCAUGCCGCGUGCAGGAUGACGGUCCUAUGGAUUGUAAACUGCUUUUGUACAGGAAGAAACAGUUCUACGUGUAGAACCUUGACGGUACUGUAAGAAUAAGGAUCGGCUAACUCCGUGCCAGCAGCCGCGGUAAUACGGAGGAUCCAAGCGUUAUCCGGAAUCAUUGGGUUUAAAGGGUCCGUAGGCGGUUUUGUAAGUCAGUGGUGAAAGCCCAUCGCUCAACGGUGGAACGGCCAUUGAUACUGCAAGACUUGAAUUAUUGGGAAGUAACUAGAAUAUGUAGUGUAGCGGUGAAAUGCUUAGAGAUUACAUGGAAUACCAAUUGCGAAGGCAGGUUACUACCAAUAUAUUGACGCUGAUGGACGAAAGCGUGGGGAGCGAACAGGAUUAGAUACCCUGGUAGUCCACGCCGUANACGAUGGAUACUAGCUGUUCGGAGCAAUCUGAGUGGCUAAGCGAAAGUGAUAAGUAUCCCACCUGGGGAGUACGUUCGCAAGAAUGAAACUCAAAGGAAUUGACGGGGGCCCGCACAAGCGGUGGAGCAUGUGGUUUAAUUCGAUG